rnacentral:rRNA from 1 species
AGGCUUAACACAUGCAAGUCGAGAGGGCAGCAUUUUAGUUUGCUUGCAAACUGAAGAUGGCGACCGGCGCACGGGUGAGUAACACGUAUCCAACCUGCCGAUAACUCCGGGAUAGCCUUUCGAAAGAAAGAUUAAUACCGGAUAGCAUACGAAUAUCGCAUGAUAUUUUUAUUAAAGAAUUUCGGUUAUCGAUGGGGAUGCGUUCCAUUAGUUUGUUGGCGGGGUAACGGCCCACCAAGACAACGAUGGAUAGGGGUUCUGAGAGGAAGGUCCCCCACAUUGGAACUGAGACACGGUCCAAACUCCUACGGGAGGCAGCAGUGAGGAAUAUUGGUCAAUGGGCGAGAGCCUGAACCAGCCAAGUAGCGUGAAGGAUGAAGGCUCUAUGGGUCGUAAACUUCUUUUAUAUGGGAA